rnacentral:rRNA from 5 species
UUAAGCGACUAAGCGUACACGGUGGAUGCCCUGGCAGUCAGAGGCGAUGAAGGACGUGCUAAUCUGCGAAAAGCGUCGGUAAGGUGAUAUGAACCGUUAUAACCGGCGAUGUCCGAAUGGGGAAACCCAGUGCAAUUCGUUGCACUAUCGUUAACUGAAUACAUAGGUUAACGAGGCGAACCGGGGGAACUGAAACAUCUAAGUACCCCGAGGAAAAGAAAUCAACCGAGAUUCCCCCAGUAGCGGCGAGCGAACGGGGAGCAGCCCAGAGUCUGAAUCAGCUUGUGUGUUAGUGGAACGGUCUGGAAAGUCCGACGGUACAGGGUGAUAGUCCCGUACACCAAAAUGCACAGGUUGUGAACUCGAAGAGUAGGGCGGGACACGUGGUAUCCUGUCUGAAUAUGGGGGGACCAUCCUCCAAGGCUAAAUACUCCUGACUGACCGAUAGUGAACCAGUACCGUGAGGGAAAGGCGAAAAGAACCCCGGCGAGGGGAGUGAAAAAGAACCUGAAACCGUGUACGUACAAGCAGUGGGAGCACCUUCGGGUGUGACUGCGUACCUUUUGUAUAAUGGGUCAGCGACUUAUAUUCUGUAGCAAGGUUAACCGUAUAGGGGAGCCGCAGGGAAACCGAGUCUUAACUGGGCGUUAAGUUGCAGGGUAUAGACCCGAAACCCGGUGAUCUAGCCAUGGGCAGGUUGAAGGUUGGGUAACACUAACUGGAGGACCGAACCGACUAAUGUUGAAAAAUUAGCGGAUGACUUGUGGCUGGGGGUGAAAGGCCAAUCAAACCGGGAGAUAGCUGGUUCUCCCCGAAAGCUAUUUAGGUAGCGCCUCGUGAACUCAUCUUCGGGGGUAGAGCACUGUUUCGGCUAGGGGGUCAUCCCGACUUACCAACCCGAUGCAAACUACGAAUACCGAAGAAUGUUAUCACGGGAGACACACGGCGGGUGCUAACGUCCGUCGUGAAGAGGGAAACAACCCAGACCGCCAGCUAAGGUCCCAAAGUCAUGGUUAAGUGGGAAACGAUGUGGGAAGGCACAGACAGCCAGGAUGUUGGCUUAGAAGCAGCCAUCAUUUAAAGAAAGCGUAAUAGCUCACUGGUCGAGUCGGCCUGCGCGGAAGAUGUAACGGGGCUAAACCAUGCACCGAAGCUGCGGCAGCGACACUAUGUGUUGUUGGGUAGGGGAGCGUUCUGUAAGCCUGCGAAGGUGUGCUGUGAGGCAUGCUGGAGGUAUCAGAAGUGCGAAUGCUGACAUAAGUAACGAUAAAGCGGGUGAAAAGCCCGCUCGCCGGAAGACCAAGGGUUCCUGUCCAACGUUAAUCGGGGCAGGGUGAGUCGACCCCUAAGGCGAGGCCGAAAGGCGUAGUCGAUGGGAAACAGGUUAAUAUUCCUGUACUUGGUGUUACUGCGAAGGGGGGACGGAGAAGGCUAUGUUAGCCGGGCGACGGUUGUCCCGGUUUAAGCAUGUAGGCUGGUUAUCCAGGCAAAUCCGGAUAAUCAAGGCUGAGGUGUGAUGACGAGGCACUACGGUGCUGAAGUAACAAAUGCCCUGCUUCCAGGAAAAGCCUCUAAGCAUCAGGUAACAUCAAAUCGUACCCCAAACCGACACAGGUGGUCAGGUAGAGAAUACCAAGGCGCUUGAGAGAACUCGGGUGAAGGAACUAGGCAAAAUGGUGCCGUAACUUCGGGAGAAGGCACGCUGGUGUGUAGGUGAAGUCCCUGCGGAUGGAGCUGAGACCAGUCGAAGAUACCAGCUGGCUGCAACUGUUUAUUAAAAACACAGCACUGUGCAAACACGAAAGUGGACGUAUACGGUGUGACGCCUGCCCGGUGCCGGAAGGUUAAUUGAUGGGGUUAUCCGUAAGGAGAAGCUCUUGAUCGAAGCCCCGGUAAACGGCGGCCGUAACUAUAACGGUCCUAAGGUAGCGAAAUUCCUUGUCGGGUAAGUUCCGACCUGCACGAAUGGCGUAAUGAUGGCCAGGCUGUCUCCACCCGAGACUCAGUGAAAUUGAACUCGCUGUGAAGAUGCAGUGUACCCGCGGCAAGACGGAAAGACCCCGUGAACCUUUACUAUAGCUUGACACUGAACAUUGAGCCUUGAUGUGUAGGAUAGGUGGGAGGCUUUGAAGCGUGGACGCCAGUCUGCGUGGAGCCAACCUUGAAAUACCACCCUUUAAUGUUUGAUGUUCUAACGUUGGCCCCUGACCGGGGUUGCGGACAGUGUCUGGUGGGUAGUUUGACUGGGGCGGUCUCCUCCCAAAGCGUAACGGAGGAGCACGAAGGUUAGCUAAUCCUGGUCGGACAUCAGGAGGUUAGUGCAAUGGCAUAAGCUAGCUUGACUGCGAGCGUGACGGCGCGAGCAGGUGCGAAAGCAGGUCAUAGUGAUCCGGUGGUUCUGAAUGGAAGGGCCAUCGCUCAACGGAUAAAAGGUACUCCGGGGAUAACAGGCUGAUACCGCCCAAGAGUUCAUAUCGACGGCGGUGUUUGGCACCUCGAUGUCGGCUCAUCACAUCCUGGGGCUGAAGUAGGUCCCAAGGGUAUGGCUGUUCGCCAUUUAAAGUGGUACGCGAGCUGGGUUUAGAACGUCGUGAGACAGUUCGGUCCCUAUCUGCCGUGGGCGCUGGAGAAUUGAGGGGGGCUGCUCCUAGUACGAGAGGACCGGAGUGGACGCAUCACUGGUGUUCGGGUUGUCAUGCCAAUGGCACUGCCCGGUAGCUAAAUGCGGAAGAGAUAAGUGCUGAAAGCAUCUAAGCACGAAACUUGCCCCGAGAUGAGUUCUCCCUGAGACUAUAAGUCUCCUGAAGGAACGUUAAAGACGAUGACGUUGAUAGGCCGGGUGUGUAAGCGCAGCGAUGCGUUGAGCUAACCGGUACUAAUGAACCGUGAGGCUUAACCUU